AAAAAGGCGAUUAUAUUCGUUUACAUAACAAUAGAUUUAAUUAUUCUUAAUUAAAAAGAUAGAACUCGAUCGAUUGUCUUCAUACGCAACAGAAUAGAAAAUACGUAUAGGGUUAAAGGGACAUUAAAGCAUGUGUAGCAGCUACGUAAUAUCCAUUAUUUUGUUGCAGCCUUCUUUUUAAUUGAGAAAGCUAUGUUUUUCUUGUUUAGUUCAAUUAAU
rnacentral:lncRNA from 1 species